rnacentral:rRNA from 1 species
AAUACAUGCAAGUCGAGCGAAUGGAUUAAGAGCUUGCUCUUAUGAAGUUAGCGGCGGACGGGUGAGUAACACGUGGGUAACCUGCCCAUAAGACUGGGAUAACUCCGGGAAACCGGGGCUAAUACCGGAUAACAUUUUGAACCGCAUGGUUCGAAAUUGAAAGGCGGCUUCGGCUGUCACUUAUGGAUGGACCCGCGUCGCAUUAGCUAGUUGGUGAGGUAACGGCUCACCAAGGCAACGAUGCGUAGCCGACCUGAGAGGGUGAUCGGCCACACUGGGACUGAGACACGGCCCAGACUCCUACGGGAGGCAGCAGUAGGGAAUCUUCCGCAAUGGACGAAAGUCUGACGGAGCAACGCCGCGUGAGUGAUGAAGGCUUUCGGGUCGUAAAACUCUGUUGUUAGGGAAGAACAAGUGCUAGUUGAAUAAGCUGGCACCUUGACGGUACCUAACCAGAAAGCCACGGCUAACUACGUGCCAGCAGCCGCGGUAAUACGUAGGUGGCAAGCGUUAUCCGGAAUUAUUGGGCGUAAAGCGCGCGCAGGUGGUUUCUUAAGUCUGAUGUGAAAGCCCACGGCUCAACCGUGGAGGGUCAUUGGAAACUGGGAGACUUGAGUGCAGAAGAGGAAAGUGGAAUUCCAUGUGUAGCGGUGAAAUGCGUAGAGAUAUGGAGGAACACCAGUGGCGAAGGCGACUUUCUGGUCUGUAACUGAC